rnacentral:rRNA from 1 species
GAUGAACGCUGGCGGUAUGCUUAACACAUGCAAGUCGAACGGACUCUUCGGAGUUAGUGGCGGACGGGUGAGUAACGCGUGAGAAUCUUGCUUUGGGUUCGGGACAACCACUGGAAACGGUGGCUAAUACCGGAUGUGCCGAGAGGUAAAAGAGUAAUUUCCUGAAGAUGAGCUCGCGUCUGAUUAGCUAUUUGGUGAGGUAAAGGCUCACCAAGGCAGCGAUCAGUCGCUGGUCUGAGAGGAUGACCGGCCACACUGGGAAUGAGACACGGCCCAGACUACUCCUGCAGGAAGCGGUAGGGAAUUUCCCGGAAUGGGCGCAUGACUGACGAAGCACUACCGAGUGAGGAAAGAAGGCACUUGGGUAGUAAACCUCUUUACUUAACGAAGAACAAAAUGACGGUACCUAAGGAAUAAGCCUCGGCUAACUCCGUG